GCCGGGGUGGCGGAAUUGGCAGACGCACAGGACUUAAAAUCCUGGGGUUCGCAGGAACCGUGCCGGUUCAAGUCCGGCCCUCGGCACCA
rnacentral:tRNA from 1 species